AAUCCAUAGGUUAAUGAGGCGAACCGGGGGAACUGAAACAUCUAAGUACCCCGAGGAAAAGAAAUCAACCGAGAUUCCCCCAGUAGCGGCGAGCGAACGGGGAGGAGCCCAGAGCCUGAAUCAGCAUGUGUGUUAGUGGAAGCGUCUGGAAAGGCGCGCGAUACAGGGUGACAGCCCCGUACACAAAAGCGCAUGUGCUGUGAGCUCGAUGAGUAGGGCGGGACACGUGGUAUCCUGUCUGAAUAUGGGGGGACCAUCCUCCAAGGCUAAAUACUCCUGACUGACCGAUAGUGAACCAGUACCGUGAGGGAAAGGCGAAAAGAACCCCGGCGAGGGGAGUGAAAAAGAACCUGAAACCGUGUACGUACAAGCAGUGGGAGCACCCUUCGGGGUGUGACUGCGUACCUUUUGUAUAAUGGGUCAGCGACUUAUAUUCUGUAGCAAGGUUAACCGUAUAGGGGAGCCGUAGGGAAACCGAGUCUUAAC
rnacentral:rRNA from 2 species